rnacentral:lncRNA from 1 species
CUGCACUUUUAGCGUGUCAACAGUACCAAAAGCAUGUGGCAAUUGGUGAAGAAAAGCAUCGCCCAACAUUGCUCCUGCUUACAUAAGUGAAGUUCAAUCAAAAUCAACCUAGUGAAACUCAAAUGGAAAAAUCACAAUCGAGUUAAAAAAGGAAAAUUAAGGGUAAAAACUCCCAAAUCGGCCAAAAAAUCCCCAAUAUACCCACAACAACCUCUUCUAAUCCUCGUGAAAGCAUUAAAAGCGAAGAUCGAACAAAAUUUGAAACUUUUCAUCUAGAUGACAGUAAACAAAGAGGAACCCAACUCAAUUUUCAUGUAUAGAUAGAAACAAUAACAACAUACCUUAAAUAAAGUUGAGAAAAAUAACAAAGAUUGGUAGAAAACUCGCUUCUUCGCAGAUUCAGGCGAAGGGUGAAUGAUUUGUAUCAGAACAUAUCGUUGAAGGACACGGUAGUAUGGUUGUUGCUAAGAGAACAGAUGAAACGGCGCUAGGGUUUCCUUUUGUCAAGUGAAAAUGAGAAUGAAAAUGAAAAUCGAACAUAGAAGAAGAAGAUUUUCAGAUAUCUAUAUUUCCAAGGCAACAAACACACACUGAUAUUUGUAUUUCCAAUGCCUCCCCCACUAAAUGAGCCAGCCUAAAAUUUGGCUUGCGAGUGAGCCGACCCAAAUGGCUUGUGAACAGUAACACAAAAGUGCCUCUUUUAUA